GGGGGCGUUCUGGAUUCGACGCGGGUUACAAAACCUCCGGUGCAUGCCGAGAUGGUGACCAAUCUCGUUAAUCCAAAGUCGCAAACUUAUAGUUGCCAACGACGACAACUACGCACUAGCUGCUUAAACCCCAGUG
rnacentral:tmRNA from 1 species